GGUUAAGCGACUAAGCGUACACGGUGGAUGCCCUGGCAGUCAGAGGCGAUGAAGGACGUGCUAAUCUGCGAUAAGCGUCGGUAAGGUGAUAUGAACCGUUAUAACCGGCGAUUUCCGAAUGGGGAAACCCAGUGUGUUUCGACACACUAUCAUUAACUGAAUCCAUAGGUUAAUGAGGCGAACCGGGGGAACUGAAACAUCUAAGUACCCCGAGGAAAAGAAAUCAACCGAGAUUCCCCCAGUAGCGGCGAGCGAACGGGGAGCAGCCCAGAGCCUGAAUCAGUGUGUGUGUUAGUGGAAGCGUCUGGAAAGGCGCGCGAUACAGGGUGACAGCCCCGUACACAAAAAUGCACAUGCUGUGAGCUCGAUGAGUAGGGCGGGACACGUGGUAUCCUGUCUGAAUAUGGGGGGACCAUCCUCCAAGGCUAAAUACUCCUGACUGACCGAUAGUGAACCAGUACCGUGAGGGAAAGGCGAAAAGAACCCCGGCGAGGGGAGUGAAAAAGAACCUGAAACCGUGUACGUACAAGCAGUGGGAGCACGCUUAGGCGUGUGACUGCGUACCUUUUGUAUAAUGGGUCAGCGACUUAUAUUCUGUAGCAAGGUUAACCGAAUAGGGGAGCCGAAGGGAAACCGAGUCUUAACUGGGCGUUAAGUUGCAGGGUAUAGACCCGAAACCCGGUGAUCUAGCCAUGGGCAGGUUGAAGGUUGGGUAACACUAACUGGAGGACCGAACCGACUAAUGUUGAAAAAUUAGCGGAUGACUUGUGGCUGGGGGUGAAAGGCCAAUCAAACCGGGAGAUAGCUGGUUCUCCCCGAAAGCUAUUUAGGUAGCGCCUCGUGAAUUCAUCUCCGGGGGUAGAGCACUGUUUCGGCAAGGGGGUCAUCCCGACUUACCAACCCGAUGCAAACUGCGAAUACCGGAGAAUGUUAUCACGGGAGACACACGGCGGGUGCUAACGUCCGUCGUGAAGAGGGAAACAACCCAGACCGCCAGCUAAGGUCCCAAAGUCAUGGUUAAGUGGGAAACGAUGUGGGAAGGCCCAGACAGCCAGGAUGUUGGCUUAGAAGCAGCCAUCAUUUAAAGAAAGCGUAAUAGCUCACUGGUCGAGUCGGCCUGCGCGGAAGAUGUAACGGGGCUAAACCAUGCACCGAAGCUGCGGCAGCGACACUAUGUGUUGUUGGGUAGGGGAGCGUUCUGUAAGCCUGUGAAGGUGUGCUGUGAGGCAUGCUGGAGGUAUCAGAAGUGCGAAUGCUGACAUAAGUAACGAUAAAGCGGGUGAAAAGCCCGCUCGCCGGAAGACCAAGGGUUCCUGUCCAACGUUAAUCGGGGCAGGGUGAGUCGACCCCUAAGGCGAGGCCGAAAGGCGUAGUCGAUGGGAAACAGGUUAAUAUUCCUGUACUUGGUGUUACUGCGAAGGGGGGACGGAGAAGGCUAUGUUGGCCGGGCGACGGUUGUCCCGGUUUAAGCGUGUAGGCUGGUUUUCCAGGCAAAUCCGGAAAAUCAAGGCUGAGGCGUGAUGACGAGGCACUACGGUGCUGAAGCAACAAAUGCCCUGCUUCCAGGAAAAGCCUCUAAGCAUCAGGUAACAUCAAAUCGUACCCCAAACCGACACAGGUGGUCAGGUAGAGAAUACCAAGGCGCUUGAGAGAACUCGGGUGAAGGAACUAGGCAAAAUGGUGCCGUAACUUCGGGAGAAGGCACGCUGAUAUGUAGGUGAAGUCCCUUGCGGAUGGAGCUGAAAUCAGUCGAAGAUACCAGCUGGCUGCAACUGUUUAUUAAAAACACAGCACUGUGCAAACACGAAAGUGGACGUAUACGGUGUGACGCCUGCCCGGUGCCGGAAGGUUAAUUGAUGGGGUUAGCCGCAAGGCGAAGCUCUUGAUCGAAGCCCCGGUAAACGGCGGCCGUAACUAUAACGGUCCUAAGGUAGCGAAAUUCCUUGUCGGGUAAGUUCCGACCUGCACGAAUGGCGUAAUGAUGGCCAGGCUGUCUCCACCCGAGACUCAGUGAAAUUGAACUCGCUGUGAAGAUGCAGUGUACCCGCGGCAAGACGGAAAGACCCCGUGAACCUUUACUAUAGCUUGACACUGAACAUUGAGCCUUGAUGUGUAGGAUAGGUGGGAGGCUUUGAAGUGUGGACGCCAGUCUGCAUGGAGCCGACCUUGAAAUACCACCCUUUAAUGUUUGAUGUUCUAACGUUGACCCGUAAUCCGGGUUGCGGACAGUGUCUGGUGGGUAGUUUGACUGGGGCGGUCUCCUCCUAAAGAGUAACGGAGGAGCACGAAGGUUGGCUAAUCCUGGUCGGACAUCAGGAGGUUAGUGCAAUGGCAUAAGCCAGCUUGACUGCGAGCGUGACGGCGCGAGCAGGUGCGAAAGCAGGUCAUAGUGAUCCGGUGGUUCUGAAUGGAAGGGCCAUCGCUCAACGGAUAAAAGGUACUCCGGGGAUAACAGGCUGAUACCGCCCAAGAGUUCAUAUCGACGGCGGUGUUUGGCACCUCGAUGUCGGCUCAUCACAUCCUGGGGCUGAAGUAGGUCCCAAGGGUAUGGCUGUUCGCCAUUUAAAGUGGUACGCGAGCUGGGUUUAGAACGUCGUGAGACAGUUCGGUCCCUAUCUGCCGUGGGCGCUGGAGAACUGAGGGGGGCUGCUCCUAGUACGAGAGGACCGGAGUGGACGCAUCACUGGUGUUCGGGUUGUCAUGCCAAUGGCACUGCCCGGUAGCUAAAUGCGGAAGAGAUAAGUGCUGAAAGCAUCUAAGCACGAAACUUGCCCCGAGAUGAGUUCUCCCUGACUCCUUGAGAGUCCUGAAGGAACGUUGAAGACGACGACGUUGAUAGGCCGGGUGUGUAAGCGCAGCGAUGCGUUGAGCUAACCGGUACUAAUGAACCGUGAGGCUUAACCUU
rnacentral:rRNA from 1 species